GUCACUUUAUCUGACUGUGUCUUUCAUACAUCUGACAAUCAGAAAGCAGUGUGGAUUGUUUUUCUUUAUCAUUGUUGCAGUGGGUUUGAUAUAUAUUUAUUCAUUGUGCACAUUUGUGAAUUAUAGUGUAUGCUUGUGGAUUUUGUUGUAGGCAUCCAAAUAUUCUUGUACACUUUGAAUCUUUUCAGUACUUAUUUAGUUCCAUAGAAAGGAGGCUUCUUAAAUAGGUUUUGGACAUGCACAUGAAAGUUUUUGAGCUUUGAGAAUACGAAAGUGGCUGAUCUUGAAUCACUUAUCGGUUCUCUGUCAGAGGAGUUGCUGGAAAUAUUGCACCAGGAAGAAGUAGAUAAAACAAUCAGCUACUACAUGUAUAUUCUGUUCUAUUUUGAAAUUAAAAUAGUUUUAAAUAGGUCUUCAGUGUGGCCCAGACUUUUCCUUAUUUUUCUAAUCCAGUUAGAGUAACUGUUGCCCUUCUGUCAUAAUUUGUUUGCGAAACUGCUUUUUUAUUCACCAUUUGCGUUAUUUAAUUAUAGCUCUCCUUUUUUCAUCGCUCCCCAAUCACACUGCACUUUUUACUGCUACAGCCUCCUAGUGGUUACCUUCACUUCACUAGCGGAACAAAACUUAAACGCACAUUUAUCCUAUUAGACUCCCUCCAUAUGGUGAGAAUUUGUCUGGUUUUGGUGGAUUUAACCCUUUUUUCUCCCAGUUUUAGUCUGUUUUAGCAGGUUGUUUUGCAGGUAGUUCCAAGCAGAACGAUGCUUCGAGGCUGCCCAAGAAGAGAGAGAGGAAACGAGACCUGGAGUCCAGGACACUCUGCCUACCUCAUGGACUUGGACCCUCACCCAAUCUGAGGAGAAGAUGAAGUUCUUGUUUCUUUAGAUGUCCCAGGUGGUGCAAUCUGACCAGAUAAGUACAUAACUAAUUAAGGCUAAUUUAUUUGCAGAUUUUGUUCAUUUUAACUUGAGAUUGAUGAUGUUGUAUAUCUAGGUUUGAUAGGAGGAAUCCAGUGGAUAUAUGCUCUUUUUUUCUUGGGUGACGUUUGUUAAUCAUUCUGAAACCUUUGUUUAAACAAAGUUUAAUUUUUACUUUAUUCAUUCAUAAAUCAAAUAGAUGUUUAAAAAUGUCAUGUAUAUUAAAUUAGUUUUUUUUUUGUCUUUUUUUUUUUUACUACAGAGUCUGUGAUGUGUCACUCCAGAUUGGAUGCCGAAGAACUACUUGGCCAAAUAAAAGAGCUUUGGAGAAGACCUAUAGGAGUUUUUUAAUAUAUAGUUUGAAAUAGUUCUUCAUGUAUAUAUAUAUUAAAAUAGUUUCAUUUGUACUGUAGAAACUGCAAUAUGUAAAA